rnacentral:rRNA from 1 species
GCGGAGGGAUCAUUACCGAGUUUACAACUCCCAAACCCCUGUGAACACACCUUACUGUUGCCUCGGCGGAUCAUGCCCGCUCCCGGUAAAACGGGACGGCCCGCCAGAGGACCCCUAAACUCUGUUUCUAUAUGUAACUUCUGAGUAAAACCAUAAAUAAAUCAAAACUUUCAACAACGGAUCUCUUGGUUCUGGCAUCGAUGAAGAACGCAGCAAAAUGCGAUAAGUAAUGUGAAUUCCAGAAUUCAGUGAUUCAUCGAAUCUUUGAAGGCACAUUGCGCCCGCCACUAUUCUGGCGGGCAUGCCUGUUCGAGCGUCAUUUCAACCCUCAAGCACAACUUGGUG